GAGCACUCAUCAGCAGCUCGAUAUAACGGAACUGUGGAACGGCAUCUCAAACUUCCUAUGUACCGCUGCUACCACCUACUUGCUAUCGACCGCAACACAUGCAGGGGGGGAUAGAUACCGAGAGAUGAAGAGAGAAGCAAGAAAUUAGUGAGCGUGAAGAGCUUGAGAAGCUGGCAGGCAAAGCGUAAAGUGCAGCAAUAGCCGAAGCAUGGACGAUGUCGACAUCCGAUGCGGCGACCUGGGAGUCUUUGAGAGAGAUGCUUUGCGAACGAUUUAUGGUCCUUUUAGCGUUAGCUGCGAAUACCACAGGAGAUGGAACGAUGAACUGUAAGAGUUAAGCUGUGAAAUCAUCAUAGUUCCGCAAUUAAGGGACGGUGGUUACUCUGGCUAGGUCUAAUUGCGUAAGCGGUACCCACACCAAUGAAGAAGAAUACCAUUUUAAGCUUGCUAUAAUUCUCUUGAGGGUUAGAUCUAAUCUAUCCAAUAUAGUGGGAUUCGGCACAUAUAUGAAAAUAUAAAGCAUUGCAAGAUUUAAUAGUGAAAAUCAAAUAUGAAGAAUAUAAACGGAAGAUCUGUUGUGAUCUCAGAAUUAUACACAUUUUGCAAGGUCUUGUGAAAAUGGCGCGUUUCCCGAAAUACUAUGGUUUCCUUUGUAAGUAAAAGUUGGAUUUUGAUAACUCUCACGAUCCAUCAAAAUGUGGGAAUACACAAUGACCCUAUAAUAAUGGAUAUUACUGAUAUUUUGCUGAUAUCAGUCUAUAUAUAUUAUAUAUAUAUAAUUGAGUAUCUGUGGAAAAUUCAUCGAAGUAGUGGAUUGUUUGAAGUCCAUCUUUCCGAAACCCAGUGGAAAUGAAAUUAAAGGUGAUAUACGAAAAUUUAUGAAAAGCGAUAGAAUCAUACUAACAAAUAAUUAUCUGGGAGCCUGAAACGCAGAUGUCUCAAGCAAUACCACUAGAUAUAAAGGAUAUACUAAAGAAGCUAUUUUAAUCCUUUAUCUAGCUCAGAACAACAACUCGCGAAGAGAUUGAGAUUAUCAGAUGUACAAACAACUUCUUUAAAAAUAUGUCAAAACUCAACAUAUUUUUACCUCUUUUCCUUAAA